AUCAGCCGUGGUAAUUCCAGCUCCAAUAGCGUAUAUUAAAGUUGUUUGCAGUUAAAAAGCUUGUAGUUAAAUUUCGGGAUCAAUAUGUUGGUCGUGCCUUGGUACGUACUAGUUUAUUGGUUUCUUCCUUCUGACGAACCAUGAUGUCAUUAAUUUGAUGUCAUGGGGAAUCAGGACUGUUACUUUGAACAAAUUAGAGUGUUUAAAGCAAGCUAA
rnacentral:rRNA from 1 species